ensembl:lncRNA
UAUAUUUUUUUUUUUUUAAUCAAACAUCAGAAUUUAGGGGAGAGUGUGAUCUUAGUGAUUUUGACCAUGGUUUUCAGUACUGGUUUGAGUAUUUCAUGAACGGAUGAUCUCCUGGGAAUUUCAUACAAAAUAGUCUCUUGAGUUUGUACAGAAUGGUGUGAAAAACAAAACAAAAAACAUCCAGUGAGCAGUAGUUCUGUGGGCCGAGACACCUCAUUGGUGAGAGGGAUUAGAAGAGAAUGGCCAGACUGGUUUGAGCUGACAGGAAGGCUACGGAAAUAACCUCAAUAUUCACUCUUUACAACCGUGGUGAGCAGAAAAGCAUCUCAGGAGGCACAAUACACAGAACCUUCAGGCGGAUGAGCUACAGCAGCAUCAAGAUCCACUCAUAUCAGCCCAGAAUAGGAACCCGAGACUACAGUAGGCACAGACUCACCGAAACUGGUGUGCUGAAGACUGGAAGAAGAUCAGGCGAGUCAGCCACAUGAUUGGCUGAUUGGAUAACUGCAUGAAUGUGCAGUAAAGUGCAUAGUGAGUGUUUAUAAACAUGUCAAUCUGAAUCAAAUAAACAGACUAAUAAUCAAUUUACUAAUCUAAUAAAUGGACGUAUCAUCACCAAGUAAACUUGUACUUGUGUACGUUUACAGUCAGGAUUCUCGCAUAUGCAAAAUGAGCCUUUUUUCCUUUGAGAAAGUAGAGAUGUAUAUGCAUUUGAUGAAUGUUAAAGCACUGUAUAAUUAUUGCUACGUUGGAUGGGCAGUGUGAUAGGGAUCUAUAAUAUAUCAAAGCAGAAUGAUGCUGGAGUUCUAAGCACCUCUGGAGGUUAUUUACACCAAGACUGACAGGCAUAACAAAGGAAAACUCGGGUAGCAGGCACCAAUGUUAAGUAAUGGUUACACUCUGAUAGGACAUGAUUCUUGUUGUUAUGGUAACGUUGACGUUCCUCGCAUGCCUCUCCUCGCAUGCGAGGAAAAUUUGGUUUCCAUUACAUAUAAUGUGCAUGAACUUGAAGAUUUCCAGCACAUUGCUGAGUUUAGGAUGCACAGAAAGCAUUCAUUCAGACUCCGUAAUCAAAAUGAUUUCAUUCGUAUUGACAAAACGUGCGCGUGAACAUAGCCAGCGAGGAAACCCGCGAACUUCAACACAAGUGCAAUUCAUCAUCAUGUACUUAGAGAAUCAAUUAGCUAUCAUCAGUGUGUGUGAAAUGUCUACACUCCAUGGCUGUGAAUUUCAGAUCCUUGUUUUCAUCAACAUUUGUUUUUCACUGUCCAGAUGCCAGAAAUUAUCCUGGAAUGUCUACAAGUUUAAUAAUAAUAAUAAUAAUAAUAAUAAUAAUAAUAAUAAUAAUAUAUAUAUUUUUAAUUUUUAAAAAAGGUUUUUGCAUCUCGCAUUAAUGUUGCUCUAAGUGGUUCUGGCACCGGAUUAGAUUCUUCAGAUUCCACAUCGUCUGGCCGUGGUAUAUCUCGCUUGUGAGGGGAAACGGGAGUAAGGGAAAGAAGGUAGGACACUGUUUUCAGUGUCCCUCUAACCUACUUUUUCCUCUCGUCCUCUUAAAGAAUUGCACCCAUCCACAAUGAGGCCUCUGUUUGAACAGCGGGAUCAUCUACACUCACAUCAGUAAAGAGCCUCUCAGAGAAAAUCGACGACAAAAAUAAUACAUGUUCUUUCAGUUAGUCCUUUUCUGAUCUCUCGUUGAUUUGUUUUAAAAGCUUUUUUUGUUUGUUUGGGGGUUUUUUUUGCUCAUAUUCUCAAGCAUUACUGUCACUGACUACGUUUACAUGGACAGCAGUAAUCUAAUUAUUGACCUUAUUCUGAAUAAGACAAUAUUGUGAUUAAAUUGUUUACAUGAGCUGCUUUUAGAAUACUCCUUUCAUGUUCCCGUUUUACAUGUUAUAGAACAUAGAGCGAUUAACGGCACACGUCAUUACGUCCCCGCGCCACACCGUCCGACGUUCUCUCCAGAAUUUCACGUAUCGACAUAUAGUUGAUACGUGACCAUCUUCGUUAUGGUACCGUAUACAGUUUUGGGUGUUUCAUUAUUAAUUUUAUGAAAGCUUCAAGUGUAGUUAAUUAUUUGUCGUGCUGUACGUGCAAAUAGACGACUGCUUGAAGCCGUGGGCUGCGUCCCAAACCGCGUACUUACCUACUAUAAAUUAGCUGAAAUACAUGUAUUUCGCCAACUAUAUAGGAAGUAAGUGCGCGGUUUGGGAUGCAGCCCUGCUCUCUUGUUUACUGUUAUAUGGUUGAGCACUGCCGUGUUGCCGUGUUAAGGUGUGUGCAUGUCUGUAACGCACCUCGAUAAUGCGACUAAAACAGGAAUACUCCACAUUUCUUAAUUCCAUUUGUGUUUACUUCGUGUAUGCGUUAAUCAGAUUAAACUCCCCUAUAAUCGCUGUUUACAUGCUAGUUUCUUAAUCAGAAUAUCGUCUUAAUCGGUUAAUAUCGGAUUAUUGUCGUCUGUGUAAACGUACUGAGUGUGAAUGACGGUUGUGGGUCUAUUUGCUUCACACCAACAUUACCACCAUUAGGUGCCUCUGAGAAUAUUAGAAUUUUGGCUACUGUGCACUGUGUAACCCACCUAAACACUUCAGUAUAAGUAGACCACUGCCAAAUAUUGUGUUUACUUAAACAUUGCUUCACACUUUAGCUCAGUUGCGUUGCCUGUGCACGACAUGCGAUUCUAAAGUCGUUCCAUAUGCUGUUCUGCGUGCACUACACAUUUACGUCUCUCCAAGGCUGGAAGCUGGUUUUAAUCAGGCAGUUCUCAGGGCAGCUUCAUAUGCUGUAGGUUUAGCUAAUGAAGUGUUCGGUGACAUUCUCCUUUGACAUCGAGCUCAGACCAGUUCUGUAGUUUAGUAUAAUGAUAUUACAAAUGGUUUGCUUUGAGUGGAGGAAACUUGUUCUUGAUCAUGGCAGACACACCAUUUCUGCCAGUCUGUACUGAGAGAAAGUAAAGGAAAUCUCUUAAGCUUUGAAUAAGUCAGUCUAUUGCUAUUAGCAUAAUGCUCACAGGAAUAUAUUUUCUCCACAGUUUUGUUAUUGGCCAAACCAACCAGCUCUUCCAUGUCACACAACAACUAACCGGGUAAACACAUCUUUGCUCCGAGUCACGUAAAAGAAGCUGGCCGACCACAUCUUUCAAACUGCUGCUCACAGGGCAGAGUGACACACUCCAGGGAAAGCAGUAUCCACCCUCUUACUCAUACAUGAACUCACAGACACCCGGGAUUGGCUAGUGUCGCUGUGCUGUACAAGGAAGAGAGUGUAUGCCACCUCUCCCACCUGGAGAGCAUAGCCAACUUUGUUCCACUGUCAGGAUUUUAUCUCGCCGUCUCCCAAUAAUAGAUGUAAAUGUCCACCAAUUGAACUAUUGAAUCCCAACUGAGUUGUGAAAUUCUGGGUUGAGUUUUUAAUGAAGCCCUAAAAGAAUUGUUGAUGUGUUUAUUAACUGAAAUGCAAAUUCUAAAUUCAGUUAUAGGUUGUCUUGAUGUCACAUGACUUGAGCCAUGUAUGUCUGAGAAACAAAUCAGAAAGCUCUUUUUAAAACUACAGAAAUACAGAUACACACAGCAAAAUCCCCAGUGUUGAUUUAACACCCAGAGUGUUGAAUGCACACCCUACAGUGUUUAUAUAAGUCCACUGGACACAAAUGAACACUCUGGGUGUUAACUCAACACUAUGGAUUUUACUGUGCAGCCAUGGCCAAAACUAGCAAUGAGGACACUGAGGUCCAGACCUCGGUGGUUCCAGAACCCGCAUCGCUUAUCUCCGUCGUGAUAACGUAGUGCCAGAAUGUAGUCUGCUAUGCGGAAAAACAUGCAAGCUACAAUGGCUACAAAACCAGCAGUGAUGAUUAGCUCUAAACUGACUCCUUAAUCAUCCAUUAUAUUUAGAGGACAAGCAAGAGGACAACCCUACGCACUGGAGCUAAUAACAGGAUAACGCUAAACCAAAAUAUUAAUCAAAUAAAAUUCAACUGUCUAACUUUAACUCUUUUGAAUGUAUGAAUGAAUAAAGUAGGUUUGAAUGUAUGAAUGAAUAAAAUAGGUUUGAAUGUAUGAAUGAAUAAGGUAGGUUUGAAUGUAUGAAUGAAUAAAGUAGGUUUGAAUGUAUGAAUGAAUAAGGUAGGUUUGAAUGUAUGAAUGAAUAAAGUAGUUUUGAAUGUAUGUAUGAAUAAAGUAGGUUUGAAUGGCAUAGAUUCAGUUUCGCCACCAUUUGUUUUUGUUUUUUAGCACAACCUCAGCUUUUAGACAUUUAGACAUUUCUGUUAUCUACAGUUCAGCAAAUUUCACAGGUCCUGUGUCCUGAGUAGACUCAUAGGUAGCUUCAUAUCCUGUAUAUUCCAGAGAAUAAACAUUGAUACUUCCUAAAGUAACAGGCACACAAAGAUAUCUCAUUUUGUGUCAUUUUCUCUGAUUAUUUCUACAUGCAAUCACCUCAGAGUUAUUUACGGGAAUAUGACAUGACGUCAUCGGGAUGGUGUCGAUUCCAGUGGUGAGGUUUAUGGAAGAUGGAAGUAUAACAUAACAGAGAUCAGAAACUGAUGUAUUCGGUACAUUGUGGUAUAUUAACCGGGAUGCAGACCGCACUAAAAUAUCGAUCCUGGUUAUGGCUUUGGAUAAAACUACUAUAGUUGGUACCUGCGAUUAUAUUAUUGCUAUAUUAAUAUGAUUAUACUGCUACAUUUAGCUAAUCCUGGCAUGAGAUGUGCACAUAAUUGUGAUCAGUGUGACAAUUUACCAACUGCCGAUGAUCCUAAAUCUAUACAUUUAACACUCUUUUAAUGUAUAUUUCAGUAUAAAUCAGUUUUAAAGAUGAUAAUUGAAUGUAGUUUAACAUUAAGUAUAUUUUAAAAUGAAACAAAAAAAUGAUAUAUGUAGAUAUUAAAGUUCUCCAUUUUUAUUGCCAUUACCACACUAUUGUUUGUUUACACAAGAAAGGAAACAAAUAGGUUUUUGUACGUUUUUAAACCGCUUCUGCUAACAAUUUGUGAAAAUCUGUGAAUUUGUGAGUCACUUGUCACUCACAUCACGGGCAAAAUGAUGAUUUUUAUGGGUUUUAAAAGGCAGAAAGGGAGUUUGCAUUCCUUGCUUGGGAAUUACAAGAGGUGGGGGAUAGUGAAGGUGGGAUAAAGUGGAAUACUGUGUGUGUGUGUGUGUGUGUGUGUGUGUGUGUGUGUGUGUGUGUGUGUGUGUGUGCAAACUGACGGACUCAGUGGCCUGAAGCCUGAUACUGGCCCCCCAUUCGCAGCUGCUCCUUCACGCCCACCCUUUCACCGCCCCCCCACCCCCCCACCCGCCUUCCUCCCUCUGCGUCUUUCUGCCUGUCUGUCUCUCGCACUUUUCCUUUAGGAUCAACUGACUUAAGACCCAGAACAUGGGCAGGGAAUGGACUAGGACUUGAGAAACAGAAGACAUAAGAAGAGGAAGCAGAGAGAGUGAGAGAAAGAGAGCGAGAGAGCUGGAGAGAGAGAGCGAGAGAAUUAGAGAAAGAAGACAAGUUGGUAGAAUGAAUGGAGAGAGCUGGAGGAGGCUGAUGUGGGAGUUUGAUAAAGUGUGUGUAUCCUGAAGUGUGUAGGUGUUUAUUUUGUGUGUGCGCUCUGAUGUCUGCCUGUGCGUGGGGGUGUGUUUGUGUGUUUGUGCGGGUGCGUGUGUGUUUGUGUGUGUGUGUGUGUGUGUGUGUGUGUUUGUGUGUGUGUGUGUGCGUUUCCCAUUGCCCAAGGCUGGUCCUGCCAAUUCAGCAGUGAUGAGUGAGGCUAAAUUAUUUAGCUAUACUGUGCUGGACUGUCUCCAGUGAAAUGCCUUGACUGGUCCCCUGUGUGUGUGUGUGUGUGUGUGUGUGUGUGUGUGUGUGUGUGUAAACACUUGAACGCAUACAGCGUACCACACGCUCUGGAUGGAUCUCGCUCUUUUAAAAGACUGAACAAAAACCAAUGCCUUUAAACAAAUCCUAUUUGAAUAUUAAUUAAAGGUAUACUCCAGUGUUUUUCAAACUCUUUUUUUUUUUUUUUUUAAAUCACGUCUGACUGGUACAGACCGUUAACACCGACUAACACAAUAGGUUCAAUACAUUUUUCCUGGUAAAUAGGAAAGGAUAAAAGUUCUCCACGAGUGCCCCAACAACUGCCCAUAGUCUGUCAUUAUAAAUAACGUUUAAGCCAGCAGGAUUUCUGUUCUUUUCUCCGUAAAAGGACAUGUCUGUCGAAAUUGUAGUAUAAUUUGCCCAAAGAUAGAUAUUAGGUUGCAAAACAGUGGAUUAUUCCUUUAAUGCUUUGAAGCAAAUUGUAUACCAUGCCUCAGAUUUGACAGCAUUAGUAUCUGUGUAAUCAUUUCUGAAUGGAAAUGGAUUGAAGAUGCUGAUCAGUGCAGUGCAGCAAACACACAAAGCGGUAGAAACCCGUUAAACAAACAAUAUCUGGAACUUAAAGGAAUACUCCAGCGUUUUCCAAACUAAUUUUCAUACGUCACAUGGACACGGUAAACGGGCGGUUACCACACAAUCGAUUCACUCGAUAUUUCCCGUGUAAACAGGAAAGUUCUCGACGACUGCCGUUACAUUCAAGCAAACUUUCAAGAACUUUUUUUUUCAAGGUUUUCUGCUCUUUUCCAGACACUGGUCGACAUUCUCGUCUGUAUUAUUUAUCCCCACAGGAUGAAGUAGACUGGAUUAUUCCUUUAAUGCCGGAGUGAUGUGCACUGGUAGAACCCUGGACUUUUCUCCCAUUUCUUUAAAGAAAUCCACCUCUAUUUAUAGGAUAAGCAGCUUUCCCCCCUCGACAGCUUGACACGCCGUGACGUCUCUGUUUUUGCCUUUUUGUAGAAAAUGUGUGUGUGUGCGCGUGUGUGUGUGUGUGUGUGUGUGUGUGCGGGUUCACAGCUGCACGGCAAAUGCCUCACAGCUGGAGGGAUGGUGUGCGAGGCUAUAAUCCAUGAUCAUGCCCGAGCACACAUACGCACGCAUGAAUGCAUGCUCAUGCACCCCCACACUCUUGGUAACCAUACAUGCUGUGUGUGUGUGUGUGAGUGUGUGUGUGUGUGUGUUUGUUUGUGUGCGUGUUCUCUCAGCGACAUGCUUCAGUCACAAGCAUCUGUAGCUGAAUCUCAUUUCCUUGAUAUUAUUCGCACCGUCGCAUACGCCGAGAGCACACAGCCUACAGUCGCAUUAGGAUGCAUCCCUGCAAGAUUUGCAUAAAUUAACCCUCAUUUGAAAUUGAUCCAGAAUGUUAAAGCUUCGAAAAUAGAUCCCAAUCUUUCUAUCUACAAUGUUAAUGGCUGUAGCGUAUGCAAUGUUCGAUCUCUGUGAGGAUGUGACUGUACACAACUAUACGGUGGAAUUUUGCAUUACAACGUUAUAAAUACUGUGGAUUGACAUUUGUUUAUUCUCAGAAUAUGGAGACAGAUUUUUUUAAGAAGCUCCACAUGACAAUCAUUGUACAACUAAAGUUCAAUGAGGGGUGUAUAUAUAUAUAUAUAUAUAUAUAUAUAUACAUGCACAUCGAAUUCUGUUAAAGGUCUAUAUUCGGGUUGCAGCCAUAUUCCGAAUAUGAUGUUUACAUGUGUACAGGCAUCGGAAUGUUCAUGUAUACAUGGUUGGUGUACAACCCCAAUUCCAAAAAAUUUGGGACACUGGGUGAAAUGUAAAUAAAAACAGAACGCAAUGAUUUGCAAGUCCCAUAAACCCAUAUGUUAUUCACAAUAGAACAGAGUAAAUGUACUGAGUAAAUGUACCAUUUUAAGAAACAAACAAGGUCACUUUCAUGACCGCAACAGGUCUCAAAAAAGUUGGGACGGGGCCAACAAAAGGCUGGAGAAGUAAGUGUUACUAAAAAGAAACAGCUGGGGGAACAUUUUGAAACUAGUUAGGUUAAUUGGCAGCAGGUCAGUAAGAUGAUUGCGUAUAAAAAGUAUCUUAGAGAGGCAGAGUCUCUCGGAAGUAAAGAUGGGAUGGAAUCUGGAUAGAAGCAGAUGUUGCUCUAAAACCUGUAUGUACCUUUCAGCAUUGAUGGUGCCUUUCCAGAUGUGCAAGCUGCCCAUUCCAUAGGCACUAAUGCACCCCAUACCAUCAGAGAUGCAGGCUUUUGAACUGAGCACUGAUGAAAAGCUGGAUGGUCCCUCUCCUUGUCCAUGGUUUCCAAAAAGAAUUUCAAAUUUUGAGUCGUCUGACCACAGAACAGUUUUCCACUUUGCCUCAGUCCAUUUUAAAUGAGCUUUGGCCCAGAGAAGACGGCGGCGUUUCUGAAUAUUGUUCACAUAUGGCUUCUUCUUUGCAUGAUAGAGCAUCAACCAGCAUUUAUAGAUGGCACAGAGAACUGUGUUCACAGAUGACUCCCUCAGUUGUCCUCAGUGUGAAAAGGUGAACCUUAACAUCAUACAGCCGCUGUUGGAAAGGGGUCAAAUACGCAGAAGCUGGAAAAGUAAAGAAUGUGCAGGACCUGGAGGAUUUUUCUGAAGAACAGCGGGCAGUUUAAUUGCUCAGGACAAACAAGGGACUCAUGAAGAACUCUCACAAAACAGAAAAACAUCAUGUCAUUGAUCAUCCAGGUAACGACACACAGGAUUAAUAAUCAAGCCUGUGUAAACUUCUGAACUGGUUCAUUUGUGUAAAUUCAGUUAUUAUUGUGUUUUGUGGACUUUAUGUAAAGGUUGUAAUGGGCGAUAGUUUAAUCAGGGCAGGACUAAAUAAAAACACAAAAUGCUAUUUUUAAAUUUUUUAAUUAUUUUUAAAUGAUUUAGAUUCUGCCAGAUGUAUGUAGACUUAUGACCUCAACUGUAUGGAGUUACAGAUGCUAAGAAAGGCACGGGGGUGCUGUUAUCGAAAAGCAAUCAAUGACAGCACUCCGAGAAGCGUUUUAUUCUUCAUAUAUCACAACAAUCUGUCAACGACCGCAAUUUGUUAUUAAUUAAAAAAUGACACUUACACCACCACCGACAACAACAACAACAACAACAACAGCAACAACAACAAUUUCCAUGUCUAUUAUGUUACCACCUUCAUAAAUCAAUCUGUGUUUGUCAGUAACGUCGAGGACUAGAAUGUCUAUAUUAGCUCGUCAUUAACAAUAGAAGUUUGUCUGUUAGGUUUAAUGUUCAGAGCGUUACGUUUUGUAUACAUCUUUAUUUCUAUAGACUGUAGGAGCGGCAUUAGUGUCACUGUAACGCAGUCUCGUUUACACACUCACAGUGUAGUAUCCGGGUAGCGAACUCGCUAGAUUGAGACGAAACUAAAAUGUCUGACAGUUAAUACAAUCGUAUAGCUGUGUUAGUUAAGCUCUUAUUAUAGGGUAUGAGGAAAAAUCUCUCUCCCUUUCUCUCUGUCUUUCUGUCGGAGUCAUCCAUAUUCCAGAAGCCAUGAGCACCACACACACACCCACACACACACACACACACACACACACACACUCUCUUCUGGCCCUGCUCUGGCUGGGUUGCUAUGGAAACAGUAGCAGACAGGUUCUCACGUCCCUUCCUUCAGAUUCCUCCUGGCUCGAAGAGCAUUUAUAUUCAUACACACACAUACACACACUGAGCCACACACGAACAUGUGCACAAGCAUGCACAGACGUGGCGAGCACACACAUUAAUACACAGCAUGCACUCGAACAUAUUGAUCCUCGCCAAGGGUUGUGUGUGGCUCGAAACAGCAAAGCAGAGCUGUUAUUAUAAUUGUGACGCUGGCAAUUACAGAGCUCAUUUAUGAGAUAUUUGCAUUCAGGAGACCUCUCUCUCUCUCUCUCUCUCUCUCUCUCUCUCUCUCUCUCACACACACACACACACACAUACACCGAAGCAAUUAUAUUGAUUUUCUAAGAUGGGUGCAUUGUAUUGUUUGGGUAGGUCAUCGUCACGUUUGAAACUCCAGCAUACUUUGCUGCAAACGAGCCUUAUCAGUAUGCAGAGGAACAGCCGGUGACGGAGGUGUCAUAUUUGUCAUAAUUAAUAUCAAACAUUGCAGCCAAUGACUCAUACAUAAAAUCAAAGCGAUGUCGUGAUAAUCCUUUCCUCUCUUGUCGUCUUUCACUUCUUCUUUUUGUUUUUUUGAGCAUCAGCGUGCUGUGGAGAAGCAAAGCGAGAAAGAAAGAGAUAAAGGUGUAUUUUAUUUUUCCUCAUUCGUCUCUCUCACUUUCUCAAACUCAUUUAGGAGGAUAAGCAUCAGCAGCGGAGAGACGGAGUGCACACGUUCCCUCCCUUUUGAAUGUAAGGAGGAGAAUGGAUUUAGAGAAUAAUAUUGCUCUCUCUCUCUCUCUCUCUCUCUCAUAUCGAUGUUGGACUUUGAAUACUAACCAGGCUCUCAGCACAUACAAUAAGCAUCGUAUCACUGGCUAGGAAAUUAAGAUGGACAGAGAGAGAGAGAGAGAGAGAGAGAGAGAGAAAGAUAGACGGAGAGCGAGAGAGAGGAGAGAGAAGAGAGAGUGAGAGAGCACAAGAGAGAGAAAGAGAGAGAGAGAGAGAGAGAGAGAGAGAGAGAGAGAGAGAGAGAGAGAGAGAGAGAGAGAGAGAGAAAGAGAGAGAGAG